AAGGAGAUGGCCAACAUGAAGGAGGAGUUUGAGAAAACCAAAGAAGAGCUUGCAAAGUCUGAGGCAAAGCGGAAGGAGCUGGAGGAGAAAAUGGCUUCUCUAAUGCAAGAAAAAAAUGAUCUGCAGCUCCAAGUGCAAUCUGAAGCUGAUGCUCUGGCUGAUGCUGAGGAAAG